AAAAAAGCAGGGAUUUGUCAUAUUUUAUGAGCAGGUCUCUCGUAAACUUCAGGGACAUCAUUUCCAUUGUUAUUGGGUGAACCUCUGUAUCUUGUUUAUGACUGAAGGUUCAGUAAAUGAUGGAACAUGU